ensembl:lncRNA
GCUGAACAAAUGCCUAGUUUCACUGGGCCCAUGUGAGAACAUCUGAUUAGGAGUUCUCGUCUGAAUAAGGUAUGAAAUUCCCAACCAGCUCUCCAGUGAGAGCUGAAUAUGUGUGAAGAGAGCAGCAAAGUGUGUGCAUCUCCAUCAGAUUUCUGUAGGUAAGCAUUUUCUUGACUUUCAGCUGGUUUUCACAGGUGUGUUAAAGAUAAUAAAGACUUUAAGAUACGAAGCACAUUUUCACAUUCUUGUUUGAAAGAUGGACACAAGUAUUAUGCAGACAAUACUUGAACCAUAUAGCUUGGCUUCUAACCUUUCCUGUCUUUUUGACUGAGUCUUAGUUAUCAUUUUACUAUGACAUAUAUUGAAUAUGCUCAAAUUGAUGUUAGCUUCUAUUGUCACCAAGGAAGGAAAUGUAAAAGCAUGAAUAGUAACACAGGAGGAUUGAGCUGUUGAUUUGUAAUGGUGACUUUGCCUUAGCAUGCACUUUUGUGACGUUGAAGUUCUGUGAGUUUAAUCGCUGUGUGAUAAGAAGAGGCAGCUUGUGAACAGGAUAUUAAACCUUGAUUUCUAUCAUACCAAACAAUUGCUGUAUCUUCAUCACUUCUUAAAACUAACAUCCUUUCCUUUCAGGUUGAUGUGUCCUACUGUAUUAUUUAAGACUUGAUUAUUACAGUUGAAAUUGUUUUGUUGUUUUUUUUUUAGUGCAAAACUGUGUACUUAAAUGACUGUAUUUCAUCCAUCUUCAUUGUGACUCUGAAUCUAACUUUCUGUCUCACAAACUGCUCAGUUGAUGCUUUCCUGGCCAAGUUUCCAUGUAAAUAGGGUGAGCACACAGCUACGUAAUGUGGCACCAAUCCAAUUGCAGGCAGCACAGUGCUUGGGAAGAGCUGUUACCUGGUGUUCAUCGGGAGAAGGAGUCGUCCCCACCUGGGGUCCUGAUGGAGAAGUUGCUGAUCCUCCUCACCUGUAUCAUCUGAGUGGUUUAGAGGACGGUGUUCUACAAUGGCAGUAAACAAAGUCAUUGGUUGCAGACUUCUAUGCCAAUUCAGGUGGCUCUAUUGAAGAUGUAAGGUUGGAGCACCAGUUUCUCAGCAGUGGGAUAUUACCUAGCAGUGAGUUGGCCUUGCUCUGGUGGGUGUCCUGGCGUUCCCCCACAGUGAGCUCUGUUCUGGUUCUGUUGGAGGCUGCCUGGUCUUUCUGCCACGUUUAUAUUCCACUUAAAUGUCUGGCUAUUCAGGAGUGUCUCGUUUGAGUUUGACUUAAACUUUUCCUGCUCCUACCCCUUCCUGCAGAGGCUUUUUUAUAGAUGGCCUGUAGAGCCAUGAAGUUUUUGAGUUGAGCAUUUUCUUAAGCUUAUGGGGCUAACCACAAUUACGGGAGAAUUCUUGAAGAAUUUUUGAAUUCAAUGCUUUUAUUUAAUGUUUAUAAGCAAGUUCAAAGGUGUCAGAUACAAACGUCCCAGUGUGGCACGAGGACAAGACAUGGCGCUGGGGAUUGAGCUGUUUUGUUGCUGGUGCACAGAAAUGUGGCAAUGAACUUUUUCCCUGGUGCUUUAGAGCAUUAAAACAGCUGUUCUGGAUCAGAGCAAAGUGGGCAGCAGCUGUGGCAGUGAUCUGCCCAUGAUUAGUGGGCUCAGGCACUCAUGGAGUCACAGAUGGGCUUUUUGCUCUUAAGGGCACUGUGCUUUUAGGGCUCCUACUUUUGCACCGGUGUGCUUUUUAAAGUGCUAAAAGUUUCCCAGCUGAAAGUCCUCACAGCAUCACACAGCAAAGAGCUCUUGGUUACAGCAUCCAUGCGAAGACAUUGCACGGUCUGCCUGUGUCCCAGUGGGCACAAACAGCACUGAUUGCAUAUUAAAGCCAUUGUCACCAUCACAACCUGGGAGGAGAGCAGAGUGCCAGGACGCUGCAGGACCCUGAAGAUAAUGUCUUAUAAAUAAACAUCUCAAAUUUGUCUGAAGCUGCA